rnacentral:rRNA from 1 species
GUCAUAUGCUUGUCUCAAAGAUUAAGCCAUGCAUGUCUCAGUACAAGCCAAAUUAAGGUGAAACCGCGAAAGGCUCAUUAAAUCAGUUAUGGUUCCUUAGAUCGUACCCACAAUUACUUGGAUAACUGUGGUAAUUCUAGAGCUAAUACAUGCAAACAGAGCUCCGACCGGAGACGGGAGGAGUGCUUUUAUUAGAUCAAAACCAAUCGGUGGCGGGUUCGCUCGUUAUCGUACAACUUGGUGACUCUGAAUAACUUUACGCUGAUCGCACGGUCAUCGCACCGGCGACGCAUCUUUCAAAUGUCUGCCUUAUCAACUGUCGAUGGUAGGUUCUGCGCCUACCAUGGUUGUAACGGGUAACGGGGAAUCAGGGUUCGAUUCCGGAGAGGGAGCCUGAGAAACGGCUACCACAUCCAAGGAAGGCAGCAGGCGCGCAAAUUACCCACUCCCGGCACGGGGAGGUAGUGACGAAAAAUAACGAUACGGGACUCAUCCGAGGCCCCGUAAUCGGAAUGAGUACACUCUAAACCCUUUAACGAGGAUCAAUUGGAGGGCAAGU